UUUUUUUUUUUUUUGUAACGGAAGAGGGCACGAAAGAGGGCGUUUCCUCUUCGCGUCGGUGCUUCUUCCCCCAUCGGCUGCAGCAUUUAUUCUCCCAUCUUGGCAGCGUCGUUCCCUCUCCCUCUUCGUUUCCUACGGUUGGUCAUUUUCUUUCCCCUCUCUGCUGCAACAUCUCUCUCCAAUUUUCUUUCAUAUGAUGAUUUAAGGAGGCGGCGCUGCCCUACGAGCCCACUUCCUCUGCAACUCUAACGAGACCUCCGAGGACCUCAUGGACAAGGAAUACCCCUUCGCCUUCAUGCUCGCGAGUGCCUGGUUCGUCAUCACCAUUCUUGCCGAUUGCGUCGUCACGAUCAUGGUCGCGCGUGGGAUGAGGGUUGAGAGAUUUCAAAAAAGGGCAGAGAAGGAUCGGAGGUCAUGGUGAUGGAGGAGCAUUUCAAGAGAGCAAACUUGGUGCUAACAAUGGAAGCUUGAACCGGCAAUCAGAUGCGAGUUUCAAAUAUAUUAUGGUUACAAUUUGCGGCGAAAUAUAUCAAAUUUUCUUAUACCAAAAGCGAUUGAUUUGAUUACAUGUCAGAACGGAUCCAUUGUAUGGUUGGUGUGGAUGAUGCUAGGAUAUUCUCAUCAUCCUCUGGUUAGAAAUCAAAUUCUGGAUUAAGUGAUCCCAUUGAUUAUGUACAGAAUAGUUAAUAGAAGUUGGUUUUUUUGUGGAGGGGCUCAGCUAUUUGAUGACAAGGAGAAGCUGCACGGGUACUGAUUUUGUACAUUUUUUAUAACUUCAUUUCCGCUCUUUUUAAUUUCAUGGCCCUGUGCAUGACUAUAUUUUUUGUUUCUUCCACUUUAUUGUUGACCGGAGGCAAGUAAAUUAUGUGGUAAUA